AUACGGAGGAUGCAAGCGUUAUCCGGAUUUAUUGGGUUUAAAGGGUGCGUAGGCGGUUUGCUAAGCGGGAGGUGAAAUGCCGGCGCUCAACGUCGGAAGUGCCUCCCGAACUGGUGGACUUGAAUGACUCUGCCGUGGGAGGAAUGUGUAGUGUAGCGGUGAAAUGCUUAGAGAUUACACAGAACACCGAUUGCGAAGGCAUCUCACGAAGGGUUGAUUGACGCUGAGGCACGAAAGCGUGGGGAUCAAACAGGAUUAGAUUCCCUGGUAGUCCACGCAGUAAACGAUGAUGGCUAACCGCUGGACUUAUCAGUUCAGUGGCCAAGCGAAAGCGAUAAGCCAUCCACCUGGGGAGUACGGUCGCAAGGCUGAAACUCAAAUGAAUUGACGGGG
rnacentral:rRNA from 1 species